rnacentral:rRNA from 1 species
AACGAACGCUGGCGGCAUGCCUAACACAUGCAAGUCGAACGAGACCUUCGGGUCUAGUGGCGCACGGGUGAGUAACGCGUGGGAACCUGCCCUUAGGUUCGGAAUAACUCCCCGAAAGGGGUGCUAAUACCGGAUAAUGUCUUCGGACCAAAGAUUUAUCGCCUUUGGAUGGGCCCGCGUUGGAUUAGCUAGUUGGUAGGGUAAAAGCCUACCAAGGCGACGAUCCAUAGCUGGUCUGAGAGGAUGAUCAGCCACACUGGGACUGAGACACGGCCCAGACUCCUACGGAAGGCAGCAGUGUGUAAUAUUAUACAAUGGACGAUAGCCUGAUCCAGCAAUGCCGCGUGAGUGAUGAAGGCCUUAGGGAUGUAAAUCUCUUUUACCCGAGAUGAUAAUGACAGUACCGGGAGAAGAAGCUCCGGCUAACUCCGUG